rnacentral:tRNA from 1 species
AUGGCUCAGUGGUUAAGAGCUCUGGCUACUUUUCUAGAGGACCCAGGUUCAAUUCCUGGU